rnacentral:rRNA from 1 species
AUGUUCGCCCUCCGCAAAACCCUGCUCCACGGCCGCCUCCCCGCGCCGCCGGCCACCGCCGCCUCCAGGAUCUCCUCCUUCCUCCGCUCCCUCUCCACAUCUCCGGGGGGCGAGGGGGUCGGGGACGAAUGGGGCUCCUCCUGGUCCACCGGCAUCACCAAGGACCACUUCGACGGGUCCGCCUCCGCCGUCGGGCGCCCCUCCCCGUCCGCCCCCGUCUCCAAGGAGCUGGCGGCCGUCCGCACCAUGGACGAGGAGGAUGAGAUCCUGCGCUCCGUGGAUCGCGACAACAAGGAAGGGAGGGCGUACGUCGACUCGUGGGACAAGCGUUUUCACGAGACGUGCGAGCUGCUGAAGCAGGUGCGGGAGCCGGGAUCCCGGGGCGCCUACCUCAAGGACUCGGAGAAGCAGGAGAUGUACCGGCUGCACAAGGAGGACCCCGCGACCUACACCGUGGAGCGGCUCGCCAAGGACUUCCGCGUGAUGCGGCAGCGCGUGCACGCCAUCCUCUGGCUCAAGGAGAUGGAGGAGGAGGAGGAGAGGAAGCAGGGCAAGCCGCUCGACGACUCCGUCGAGAUCCUGCUAGACAGCUGCCCAGAGUUUUUCAAUUCCCAUGACAGGGAAUUUCAUGUGGCAUCUCUUCCAUAUAAACCUGACUUCAAAGUUAUGCCUGAGGGCUGGGAUGGCACGACAAAAGAUCCUGAUGAGGUCCUGUAUGAGAUUUCAAUGAAGGAAGAUCAGAUGUUAUAUGAGGAAUUUGUUCAACGCUUGGAGUUCAACAAGAAAAAGGUGGCAGGAGAGGUGAAGUGCCACAAGUACAGCAGGCGACGACCAGACGAUGGAUGGGCCUACAUGGUCGAGAAGCUUGGGCCACAGGGAAGGCGUGGUUCAGGAGGGGGCUGGAAGUUCAUCAGUUUGCCUGAUGGGUCGAGCCGUCCUCUGAAUGACACGGAGAAGAUGUAUGUGAAGAGGGAGACUCCGAAACGGCGGAGGAGGAUCAUUGCUCCAUACAAGUAA